AGCAGUCGCCACGGUAAUACGUAGGUGGCAAGCGUUGUCCGGAAUUAUUGGGCGUAAAGGGCUCGCAGGCGGUUUCUUAAGUCUGAUGUGAAAGCCCCCGGCUCAACCGGGGAGGGUCAUUGGAAACUGGGAAACUUGAGUGCAGAAGAGGAGAGUGGAAUUCCACGUGUAGCGGUGAAAUGCGUAGAGAUGUGGAGGAACACCAGUGGCGAAGGCGACUCUCUGGUCUGUAACUGACGCUGAGGAGCGAAAGCGUGGGGAGCGAACAGGAUUAGAUACCCGCGUAGUCCCUGUCCCUUAUAC
rnacentral:rRNA from 1 species